rnacentral:rRNA from 1 species
UGGGGAAUAUUGGACAAUGGGCGCAAGCCAGAUCCAGCCAUGCCGCGUGAGUGAUGAAGGCCCUAGGGUUGUAAAGCUCUUUCACCGGUUAAGAUAAUGACGGUAACCGUAGAAGAAGCCCCGGCUAACUUCGUGCCAGCAGCCGCGGUAAUACUAAGGUGGCUAGCGUUGUUCGGAAUUACUGUUCGUAAAGCGCACGUAGGCGGGUAUUUAAGUCAGGUGUGAAAUCCCAGAGCUCAACUCUGGAACUGCCUUUGAUACUGGGUACCUAGAGUAUGGAAGAGAUAAGUGGAAUUACGAGUGUAGAGGAGAAAUUCGUAGAUAUUCGGAGGAACACCAGUGGCGAAGGCGGCUAAAUGGUCCAUUACUAACGCUGAGGUGCGAAAGCGUGGGGAGCAAACA